rnacentral:rRNA from 1 species
UAGGGAAUCUUCGGCAAUGGACGGAAGUCUGACCGAGCAACGCCGCGUGAGUGAAGAAGGUUUUCGGAUCGUAAAGCUCUGUUGUAAGAGAAGAACGAGUGUGAGAGUGGAAAGUUCACACUGUGACGGUAUCUUACCAGAAAGGGACGGCUAACUACGUGCCAGCAGCCGCGGUAAUACGUAGGUCCCGAGCGUUGUCCGGAUUUAUUGGGCGUAAAGCGAGCGCAGGCGGUUAGAUAAGUCUGAAGUUAAAGGCUGUGGCUUAACCAUAGUAGGCUUUGGAAACUGUUUAACUUGAGUGCAAGAGGGGAGAGUGGAAUUCCAUGUGUAGCGGUGAAAUGCGUAGAUAUAUGGAGGAACACCGGUGGCGAAAGCGGCUCUCUGGCUUGUAACUGACGCUGAGGCUCGAAAGCGUGGGGAGCAAACAGGAUUAGAUACCCUGGUAGUCCACGCUGUAAACGAUGAGUGCUAGGUGUUGGGUCCUUUCCGGGACUCAGUGCCGCAGCUAACGCAUUAAGCACUCCGCCUGGGGAGUACGACCGCAAGGUUG